CAGCAGCCGCGGUAAUACGUAGGUGGCAAGCGUUGUCCGGAAUUAUUGGGCGUAAAGGGCUCGCAGGCGGUUUCUUAAGUCUGAUGUGAAAGCCCCCGGCUCAACCGGGGAGGGUCAUUGGAAACUGGGAAACUUGAGUGCAGAAGAGGAGAGUGGAAUUCCACGUGUAGCGGUGAAAUGCGUAGAGAUGUGGAGGAACACCAGUGGCGAAGGCGACUCUCUGGUCUGUAACUGACGCUGAGGAGCGAAAGCGUGGGGAGCGAACAGGAUUAGAGACCCGUGUAGUCCCUGUCUCUUAUAA
rnacentral:rRNA from 1 species